ACAGAUUUAUUCAAUAAUUGUUAUGAAUUUAAAUCAUUGUUUCUUUGUUUCUAUCAAAAAAAUUAUAUCAAAAUCGAAACGAGUUGUUAACAAAAAUGGAUUUUAUAUUUUACGAGGAUAGAAAAUCAAUUUUUUGAAAAUUAAUUAUAUUAUUUUAUUGAAAUAUAAUUUUCACGAUAUUAUUAAAUAUCUUUAAAAUUACAGAUAUUUGGAUUGUUGUAUAUAUCGAAAUCAAUCAUUUUUUCGAUAAGAGAUUUAAAAAAAAAAAAAAAGAAAGAAAGAACGCUCGACGAUGCGUUCGAAAAAUAAUAAAAAUUCAACGAAGGAGGAACUUAUUGUUUGUACCACAAUUGAAUUUCAAUGGAUACGAUCGAUCGAAUCGGUGUCACAAUGCCGACCUCGCAAAACCGCGAAGUCUUUGGAUGAAUAUGGCAACAUAUUUGUGUGCGUAAGUGUUGUAUCGAUUUCUCACGCAGUUAUUCUAAUUAAUGUUCAUCCAAUUGUAUAUACACGACGAUGCAAAUAAUGUUUCAAUCGGUGCGCCAGUUUGAUAAUCAGGGUGAGAAACGUGUACGCAAACAGAGAGAGUUUAUCAUAAUUUUCGAGGUACAAGAACGAGAGAAUUAGAGAAAUUAUAUUUCACACACGAAAUUAAAUAUUUAAACAAAGGAAAUUUUAUUAAGAGAUUUAUCGAUGAUCGAUAAAUUAUUCUACUCUAGAUAGAAUGUGCAAGAAAAAGUACGUGUCCAGCUAACGACAGAUUUCUCACUUCUAUGAUUGCGACACUCUACUUACCUACUAGACGAGCGCACACGAACAAACGAUCUUUGGUCGGGUGUGUACGUACAUGUGCGAAUGCAAGUCCAAGAACGGAGGUAAAGGAACGAGGCGCAGAAUUCUUACCAGUUGUACGACUAGGUAUUUUGAAUCUUUUUUCCAAAGUCGUGAGGGUGACAACGAUGUAAAUAAAGGCCAUUGCCUGCACGGUGCCGAGGAGGCCGUACACCGCUAUGAAAUUUUUCGGGGUGGCACGAUCACGUAGCCAUCGGGGAUAAAUCCCACAAAUUCCACAACCUUGGCUCAUCCCUCCGACUGCACUGCAACAUUCAUAAUCCUUUCAGGAUCAAACUUUUCUAUAGAAUAAAAAAGAAAUUCUUUUCUAUCUAGGGAUCACUAGGAUCUAGGAAGAAAGAGAAAGUUCUUUCUUUUUAUCUAGGGAUCAUUAGGAUUCUUCAUAAGUUCUUCAGAAUCAAACCUGAACCAAAUCAAAUCUUUCUAGGAAAAAAAAAAAUUAUUCUUUUUCAUCUAGGGAUCACUAGGAUUUAGGAACAAAGAAAAAUUCUUCUUUAUCUGGAAAUAUAAAUUUUCUGUAAAUUUUAAAACAUUCUAGAUACACUCAAGAUACUUUGGUACGAUGAUUCAUAUACGUUUGCUUGAAAAUUAAAAUAGAUAAUUUUUUUUCUCUCUACGAAAGAAAAAAAAAAUGGAAAUCUUAUAAUUUGAUACGUUUAAAAAAUUUUGAAUAGAGGAAAAUUAUAUAUCAUAAAAUACGUAAUCAAAGUGAUUUGCAAAUUCACAGAAUUAUCAGAUGUAAUUAUAAAUAUAUACAAGUAUAAAAAUGAGAAGCUAACAAGGUCAUGAUUACAAUAAUUGCAUUAAUUUCUCUAUAAAAUCUUCACAUAUCUUCUUCAUGCGAUUUCUUCGGUAAGCGAUAAAUAUGUUAUCUAUAUCGUUAUAAACUAUUUAAUUGUUUUGUUAUUAGUCUAUUUCCUUCUAUCUCAUUGUUUCUUUCUCAUUUUUGUAGAUGUACAUUUUCGUUGUAAUAUUAACUUCUGGUUCAGAAUUCAGGAAUUCAGAAUUUUAAUAUAUGUCCAUUAUAAUUUGUAUUACCUUUUUAAAAAUAUUAUAUAAAUAAAAAAAGAGGAAGAGAAUUGGUUUAUUAUCAAUCUCUUCACGAGUCGUCCAACUUUAUUAAUACAAAUCCAAUCCAUUAAAUUAUCUAAUUGAUAACAAAAAUGAGGGGAAGGAUUAAGAUAACACAGAUGAAAAAUAAGCUACACGUGAAAAGUAACUUUCUUACGUCUAUCUUAUAACAUUUAACAUGUACAAAUAUAUAUAAUAUCCGAAAAACUUUGAAUCGACGAGAUCCUCUUUUCUCGUCGUGAUUUCAUGGAUAAACGUGGACGAACAUAAAUAUU